rnacentral:rRNA from 1 species
GACGAACGCUGGCGGCGUGCUUAACACAUGCAAGUCGAACGGAAAGGCCUCUUUCGGGGGGUACUCGAGUGGCGAACGGGUGAGUAACACGUGAGUAACCUGCCCUUGACUUUGGGAUAACUUCAGGAAACUGGGGCUAAUACCGGAUAGGAGCUCCUGCUGCAUGGUGGGGGUUGGAAAGUUUCGGCGGUUGGGGAUGGACUCGCGGCUUAUCAGCUUGUUGGUGGGGUAGUGGCUUACCAAGGCUUUGACGGGUAGCCGGCCUGAGAGGGUGACCGGCCACAUUGGGACUGAGAUACGGCCCAGACUCCUAAGGGAGGCAGCAGUGGGGAAUAUUGCACAAUGGGUGGAAGCCUGAUGCAGCAACGCCGUGUGCGGGAUGACGGCCUUCGGGUUGUAAACCGCUUUCGCUCAUGACGAAGCUUUGUGUGACGGUAGUGGGUAAAGAAGCACCGGCUAACUACGUG